rnacentral:rRNA from 1 species
GAUGAACGCUGGCGGCGUGCCUAAUACAUGCAAGUCGAGCGAACAGACGAGGAGCUUGCUCCUCUGACGUUAGCGGCGGACGGGUGAGUAACACGUGGAUAACCUACCUAUAAGACUGGGAUAACUUCGGGAAACCGGAGCUAAUACCGGAUAAUAUAUUGAACCGCAUGGUUCAAUAGUGAAAGACGGUUUUGCUGUCACUUAUAGAUGGAUCCGCGCCGCAUUAGCUAGUUGGUAAGGUAACGGCUUACCAAGGCAACGAUGCGUAGCCGACCUGAGAGGGUGAUCGGCCACACUGGAACUGAGACACGGUCCAGACUCCUACGGGAGGCAGCAGUAGGGAAUCUGCCGCAAUGGGCGAAAGCCUGACGGAGCAACGCCGCGUGAGUGAUGAAGGUCUUCGGAUCGUAAAACUCUGUUAUUAGGGAAGAACAAAUGUGUAAGUAACGAUGCACGUCUUGACGGUACCUAAGCAGAAAGCCACGGCUAACUACGU